ACAGGGUUUUACUUUGAAGAAAGAACCGAGUAUUGCACGGAAACUAUCAACCAAUAAUCAAGCUUCUAGAUUCUUGUCAAGAUUCUUAUCAAGAACAAAAACGCAUACAUUCACACCCACACACCACAAAAAACAAGCAAACCAGAAAGAGAAGCCGGUCGCGGAGGAAGCUGCAGACACAGAAUUAAGCAUGGAGCAGGAAGAAGCAGAGCCCCAUGUUCUGAUGUUUCCCUUUCCAGCCUUGGGGCAUGUCAACCCAAUGCUCAAACUCGCCCAACUUCUUUCCCUCUCCGGCCUCCGAAUCACCUUCCUCAACAUCCACCGUAUCCACCAAACCCUCGUUCUUCACACAAACCUCCAAUCUCGUUUCUCUCGCUUUCCCAAAUUCAGAUUCCAAACCAUCACCGACGGCCUUCCCCCUAACUACACCGGCGGCUUGACCAAGCUCUCUGAAUUGACUCACAGCAUGGAAGCCGUAACCAAGCCCCUUCUCAGACAGAUGCUGGUCUCUAGUCAACUGGGUCCCAUUCCGACCUGCAUAAUUCUUGAUGGGUUUUUCAGUUUCAUGGUUGAUGUUGACGCUGAGCCUAGAAUCCCCGUUUUCUGUUUUCGUACUGUCAGUGCUUGUUCUUUUUGGGCUUAUUCAUCCAUUCCCAGUCUCAUCGAAGAUGGUCAGCUGCCUGUGAAAGGGGAAGAGGACAUGGACAGAAUGAUCGUAGGCGUGGCUGGAAUGGAAAAUAUUCUCCGAUGCAGAGAUCUUCCAAGCUUCAGCCGAGUGGGGGACCGCACGGAUCCGAUCCUUCAAUACAGCGUGAACCAAACCAUACAAAGCUCUAAAGCUCACUCUCUGAUAUUGAACACAUUUGAGGACUUGGAAGGCCCCAUUCUAUCUCGUCUACGGAGCCGAUGCCCAAAUGUCUACGCAAUCGGACCUCUUCAUGCCCACCUGAAAUCAAGACUUUCCGGUGAAAUAACUCGGCCGGAACCGGAGUCUUCGAACGGCUAUUGGGAGGUGGAUCGGAGCUGCCUGGCAUGGCUCGACGCUCAGCCUUCGAAAUCUGUCGUCUACGUUAGCUUUGGAAGCGUUACGGUCAUGGGGGAUCGCCAAUUUAGGGAGUUUUGGCACGGAUUGGUGGAUAGUGGGAGGCGGUUUCUGUGGGUUGUGCGGCCCAAUUUGGUGGGCGGAAAAGAUGGGGAAAAUGGGAUUCCAGCGGAGUUGGUGGAAGGGACGAAGGAAAGGGGGUGUAUGGUGGGUUGGGCUCCGCAAGAGGAAGUGUUGCGACAUGAAGCCAUUGGAGGGUUUCUGACUCACUGUGGGUGGAAUUCGACAUUAGAGGGAAUAGUGGGCAGCGUGCCAAUGAUCUGUUGGCCUCAAUUUGCAGACCAGCUGACGAACAGCCGAUACGUGAGCGAGGUUUGGAGAAUUGGGGUGGACAUGAAGGAUGUUUGCGACAGAGAGAUAGUGGCUCAGAUGGUGAAUGAUGUGAUGGAAAACAGGAGAAAUGAAUUGAUGGGUUCUGUUAUUGAGACUGCAAAAUUGGCUAAGACAAGCGUGGAAGAAGGUGGAUCGUCCUUCCGUGAUUUGGAGCGAAUGAUCAACGAUAUUCGAUUGCUUUGGAGGAGACGCAUAAAGAGUGGCUUGGCUUGACGAGGGUGGCAAAGUGGAUGGUAAGCAAGGGUCAUAACACAAUAGGCGCAAACCCAGAUGAAGAUAGCAUCAGAAGAGUUCUCCGUGGCAUCGCAGUCUAAUUUUUCCUCCUCUGCUCUCUUUGAAGAUCUUAGAACACUACAAACAGACAUAACACAAACACUUAGAAAAGGUAGAGUGAAGGUUGAGUAAAUUUCACAACAAGCUUGAAAUCUUCAUUCUGAAGCAUAAAGACUGGACAAGCUUUUGA